rnacentral:rRNA from 1 species
AUGCCAUACUUGGCGGAGAACGUGGUGGUGGUGAGCAUGGCGACACUGACCCGGACGCUGAUGCACGCAUCAGCGUGCAAGCUCGCCUAUCAACUGGACGUCGUCCCAGCCAUCAACAAGACUGGUGCCAACAGCACGCCCUCCCGGGGCUCCCACACGGGAGCAAGAGGAGAGGGUGGCACAGGUGAGGUUCCCAUGUAUGUCGUUGACUGGUAA